GUUUUUUUUUCAGUUGAUUGCGCGCACAUUUUCUUUCUUUCUUAAAUUUGCGCUCGACCCCCAUUGCCAUUCACUAUCCUUCGUAACAGAAAGGGGGCCGUAGCCGUGCCCCGGUUAUCGCUCUUGCCGUCGUUUUCAGACGGUGCCUGGACGCAUCAAUUAACGCCGAUACCUCCAUCGCUCUAUCGUGUUGCCGGGACACGUGAGUGAUCUCGGCAUGAUCUCGAGUCGAUUUUUAGAAAGAACAAACAGCAGCACAGAUUCGCAAAGAAGGGAUGGAUAAAUUAAAGAAAAUAAAAACAGAGACGUAGUAAUAAAUGUAGUAAGGCAGCUCCUCUCACUACCUGACAAAGUGCAACACUGCGGUUCUCACUCUGUUCCGGGCAAUUCCGCUUCCGGGCUUCCGGGCUUUCGAGACUAGACUUGGACCAGAUACUUGGCCCUGCCGUUCUCGAUCGGGUGAUGGAGAGUCCUCGACAUCGGGUGACGAUGACCGGCCAUGCUGAUGAGGCAAGGAUGGAUGAUGAUCGUGAGACUGAGACGCGAGGCAGAGUCGCUAAGUGAGAACGUGCGGUAUUGUGCGUGUGCCGUAUGAUUUGUCAAGGUGCCAAGGUGUCAACGAGCAGCGUUGCGAAUAAUCUCGUCGAGUGCUCGAGCACAAAAUACAUACUUUAUUUGGAUGGCAGCCAACGAGGACGGAAAUCCGCAAUGCGUGUGGCAGACAUAAAACAAUAAUACAAUAAAUACAAAAAGUCUAAUUAACCGAUAAUCAAUAAUAAUUAUAACGCGAUAUCCGCAAUAACAAUGAAAACAAUGACGACGAUGAUGUUGAUGUCAAUGAUGAUGAGCGCUGUUAGCACAAAAGGAAAUUGGCAAUGAGAUUGCGACGUUGAAACCCGCAAGAGGAUAUAACGAACCAAAAUGAUUAAUCGAAAGAGAUACGAUUUGUGGCAUUCCUUUAUCGUUAAUGCACAGCUAGUCAUCUAAAUCUAGGGGCAACGACAACAAUUAUUCAUGCCGCAGGGCCGAAUAAAAUUAACAGGACUGUCCGCUGACGUAUUAGCCGCCAAGAUGUCGUCUUCAGCGUGUAGAUCUCGAUCUAGACUCUGCUCUGCUCUCCACCUGGUAAACCUGUUUUUGCGUCUUUAUGUCUUCAUGUACACAUAACCAUGCGAGGCGAAGCGUCAUGGCAAACGUUGAUUACUUUCACGCGCACUCACGCGCACACACGCAAAGAAAAACGCACGCGCGCAAACAUUCUUUGCCAACAAGCGAAUUGUCACGUCGGCUUACGAAUUAAUUAUGAACCAUCGGCACGUUAUAUUCCGUUGUUUAUCCGAAAAAUGAUGUGGAAUCUUGAUUAUAUCCGCGACGUUUUAGUCGAUGUUUUGGAUUGAAUAAAUUAUUACACAUUUAUCAUCACUAUAAUUAUUAGAAAUGUCAUUUCUAUCAAAAUUAAACAAUUCAUGAGA